rnacentral:rRNA from 1 species
CACGUAGGCGGCUUUUUAAGUCGGGGGUGAAAUCCUGGAGCUCAACUCCAGAACUGCCUUCGAUACUGAAGAGCUUGAGUUCGGGAGAGGUGAGUGGAACUGCGAGUGUAGAGGUGAAAUUCGUAGAUAUUCGCAAGAACACCAGUGGCGAAGGCGGCUCACUGGCCCGAUACUGACGCUGAGGUGCGAAAGCGCGGGGAGCAAACA